UACGAAGGGGGCUAGCGUUGCUCGGAAUCACUGGGCGUAAAGCGCACGUAGGCGGAUCUUUAAGUCAGGGGUGAAAUCCUGGAGCUCAACUCCAGAACUGCCUUUGAUACUGGGGGUCUCGAGUCCGGAAGAGGUGAGUGGAACUCCGAGUGUAGAGGUGAAAUUCGUAGAUAUUCGGAAGAACACCAGUGGCGAAGGCGGCUCACUGGUCCGGUACUGACGCUGAGGUGCGAAAGCUAGGGGAGCAAACAGG
rnacentral:rRNA from 1 species